rnacentral:rRNA from 1 species
AAGCACGGCCACACCGCCUGGUUCACGCCCGAUCUCGUUUUAUCUCGGAAGCUAAGAUAGGGUGGGCCUGGUUAGUACUUGGAUGGGAGACCGCCUGGGAAUACCAGGUGCUGUAAGAU